AUUGAACGCUGGCGGCAGGCCUAACACAUGCAAGUCGAGCGAGCGGCGGACGGGUGAGUAAUGUCUGUGAAAAUGCCUGAUGGAGGGGGAUAACUACUGGAAACGGUGGCUAAUACCGCAUACAAUCCGAUAUGCCCAGAUGGGAUUAGCUAGUAGGUGGGGUAACGGCUCACCUAGGCGACGAUCCCUAGCUGGUCUGAGAGGAUGACCAGCCACACUGGAACUGAGACACGGUCCAGACUCCUACGGGAGGCAGCAGUGGGGAAUAUUGCACAAUGGGCGCAAGCCUGAUGCAGCCAUGCCGCGUGUAUGAAGAAGGCCUUCGGGUUGUAAAGUACUUUCAGCGGGGAGGCGUUACCCGCAGAAGAAGCACCGGCUAACUCCGUGCCAGCAGCCGCGGUAAUUC
rnacentral:rRNA from 1 species